rnacentral:tRNA from 1 species
AAGGGUAUAGCUCAAGUGGUAGAGCACAUGCUUAGCAUGCAUGAGGUCCUGGAUGUAAUCCUCAGUACCUCCU